AUGGCCACCGCGCGCGCAGUUACCGCGUCCAUGAGGCUCACCUGCGCGCUCAGCACCUUAGCCAUCCUCGCCGCAAUCCUCUUCAUGUUCCUCCUGCUGCUCGCUGCUGCCGCGCCGACGGGGUUCGCGGCCCUUCAUUCCGACGGCGCGGCGUUCGCCCGCGGCAUCUGCCUGGGCGGCUCCGCGCCCAAGGAGUGCCUCGCGUGCCUCUCCGCCGCCGCCAAGAACCUCACCGGCUGCGGCGCGAGCAGGCGCGCCGGCGUCUGGAGGGGCGAGGGCUGCUUCAUGGCUUACGCCGACGGCAACGUUUCCUCUCCGCACGAAGACGUCUUCCGCGGCGUCGUCGCCUUCGGCGAAGACGUCUUCCCCGUCGUCAUCUCCUUCGACGACGGCAGGCCGCCCUCCAACCCCAAGUGCUUCGACACGCGGGCGCUCGUCGCGCUCGCGCAGUCCCUGGCGGGGCGCGGCGCGGCCAACAGCUCGGGGGCGCGCGUCGUCACCGACGCGGCCACGCUCUCGAGCAACGCCACUGGGAAGACCGCGGUGACGCUGCGGGCGCAGUGCGCGAGGGACCGCGCGGCGGCGGCGGAGUGCGCCCGGUGCCUGGGGGACUCGGCGCGAGAGGUGCGUGCGUGCGACUGGGGCCUUGACGGCGAGCACGUGCGUGUGGCCGACGUGGUCGGCUACAACUGCUUCCUACGGAUCGAGACCUCAGUUCCGACGGGCUGGCCCGUGCCCGUGGAAAUAUAUGAGUGA
rnacentral:rRNA from 1 species